rnacentral:rRNA from 1 species
CAGUAGCCGCGGUAAUGCGAGGGGGGCAAGCGUUGUUCGGAAUUAUUGGGCGUAAAGGGUGCGUAGGCGGUUCAGCAAGUCUCGUGUGAAAUCUUCGGACUCAACCCGAAGUCUGCACGGGAAACUACUGGGCUUGAGUAAUGGAGAGGUGAGUGGAAUUUCCGGUGUAGCGGUGAAAUGCGUAGAUAUCGGAAGGAACACCUGUGGCGAAAGCGGCUCACUGGACAUUUACUGACGCUGAUGCACGAAAGCUAGGGGAGCAAACAGGAUUAGAUACCCCGGUAGUCCCUGUCUCUUAUAC